UACAGAGGGGGCAAGCGUUGUUCGGAAUUACUGGGCGUAAAGGGCGCGUAGGCGGCCUGUUAAGUCGAACGUGAAAUCCCCGGGCUCAACCCGGGAACUGCGUCCGAUACUGGCAGGCUUGAAUCCGGGAGAGGGAUGUGGAAUUCCAGGUGUAGCGGUGAAAUGCGUAGAUAUCGGGAGGAACACCUGUGGCGAAAGCGGCUCACUGGACCACAACUGACGCUGAGGCGCGAAAGCUAGGGGAGCAAACAGG
rnacentral:rRNA from 1 species